CAUCCCCAGUUGUCAGCCAGUGCGUUGGAGCACUGGAGGCAGGUGGGGGUGC
rnacentral:pre_miRNA from 1 species